CCGUGGUGUAGUGGUUAACACGUCUGCCUGUCACGCAGAAGAUCGCGGGUUCAAGUCCCGUCGGA
rnacentral:tRNA from 2 species